GGGACACGUGGACCGUAGCGUGGUCCUUUUUUGUGAAGGAAAUUCAAUUAGCCAACCCAACGAUUGGUUGGUGGCUUUGUUUUUGGGACUAGACGCUAAUGAUGCCUCGUACAAUGGGAUGAUGUAUCUAUCCAUAUGAGAGAUGAGUGAUCUGAAUGGGACUCACUCCUCCGGCCAUAAACAAAUCAAAUCAAUUGCCCACAAUUAAUAACACCAAUUUGAGCUUAUUGCUCGAACUGUUCGACUGCA